rnacentral:sRNA from 1 species
AUGGCUACCGCCCCUAACUAUGCAUGGGUCAAUCGAUCCAGCAUGACCUUCCUCUGUAGACAGCUGACUGGGCAGCCUGUUUUGAUUGGAGGAACCAUGAGAACGUGUAGCUACGUGCUGACUGGUACACAGCAUGGAAUGAAGGAGACGUACGGAACCACGUGCCACGGAGCUUCUCGGCGUAAUCUGGACUACACAGAGGUCCUGUCAGCUUUGGAGGAGAAAGGAAUCAGUAUCAGAGUGGCUUCACCAAAGCUGGUCAUGGAGGAGUAUAGUGUUUUCUGUGUCAGGGUAUACAUGGGCGUAGGACAAGGAGCAUUGAAAGGAGUACCGGAGGAUGCUGCAGGCCGACCCUGGGAAGGCCAGCAGCCGGGCCAAGAAAAGGGGGCUACCCCAGUUUGGUGGGAAAAAUCAAACCUUCACCUGUUUAAAUGGUCAGCCUUGUUUUCACGUGUUUGA